GGGAGGGUUCACGUACGGUUCCCGGGUUUUCGGUUUGGAGCUGACAAGCUUCCUCCUGCCGCUGAUGAUCGGGGCCGGGCGCGGGUUCUCGGGAUUGGGGUCAGGGAUGGGGAUCUGGGGCUCGAUGCUGAGCUGAGGUGUUACCCUGUCCAUUGGUCUUAUGAAGGAGGGAAUCCCAUUAUGUCCAUUACACAGAAGGGGAAGCUGCGGCCCACAGAUCUGCCCAUGAACGUAAAGCUACUGCCUGAUCGUACUACCAUGUUUUUCUAGCUCAUAGUGUGUGCUCUUGGCUGCUUGAUUGAAUGCAACUAGGUUAUCGGUUCUCAACUGUCAUGUCCCCUCUGGGGGUCAAAUGCCCCUGUCACAGGAGUCACUUAAGACCAUCAGAAAACACAGAUAUUUAUAUUAGGAUUCAUAGCAGUAGCAAAACUACAGUUCUGAAGUAGUAACAAAAAUGUUGGGUCACCCCCAACAGCAUUAGGAAGGUUGAAAGCCACUGGUCUGGGUCACAUAAUUGUUGGUUUUACUGAGGACUCAGUGGCACCAGGGACUGUGCUGAGAGCACUUGUAGCUUUGACACAAUUGUUUCGUUUCCUGUCAUACUGGGGAUUGAGCCCCAGGCCUGGAGCUUACUAAGCAGGCACUCUAUCACUGCCAUUCAUCCUAUUUUCAGGCAGGGUCUCACUGAGUUGCCUAGGCAGGCCUUGAACUUGUGAUCGAUCCUCUUGCCUCAGCCUCCCAAAAAGCUGGGAUGACAAACCUGUGCCACCAAAUCCACGUGACUCAGCUUUCAGAAUUGCUCUCUGACAGGUGACCUAGUGUUUUGGGGUCUCAUGACUUUCUUCUGAGUCAGAUAGAAGGUAGUUGGACUAACAGAGAGUGUGUGCUCUGAGUCAGACUCACUGUGGGUGGUUUUCGGCUCACGGUACAGCUCACAGUACAGUACACUAAGACCCCAAACAGUUUGGGUAUUUAAAGUUCAAAGCCCACUUUCUCUGCCCCAGAGGUGUGAGGUGUGAGGUGUGAGGCCCCAGGUUCUAGCCCAGAAUUCAAUAUAACACAGACAUGGGUUGAAAUGGCUCAGAGGGGAAAAGCCCUUGUCACAUAGGCCCAACAACCUGAGUUUACUACUAGGAACCCAAGGUGGGAAGAGGCAAAUGGCCUGUCUCAAAAUCCUCUGACCUCCACACAAACAAACAAGUGCCAGGUGCUCGAAAGCAUUUUAACACUUCCCAGAGAGAAUAGACAGUUUCCGCACAGCCCAGCAAUUCUGCUCUAAGUAGCUAGCCAAAAAACAAGGGAUACACGUACAACAGACCUGUAUGCCAUCUCUCACUGUAGCCUGGAAGUGGACGCUGUACAGUUGUCCAUCAGCUGAAGAAUGAAUAAAUGAAGUGAUGCAGAUCCAUAA